UACGAAGGGGGCUAGCGUUGCUCGGAAUCACUGGGCGUAAAGGGCGCGUAGGCGGCCUGAUAAGUCGGGGGUGAAAGCCUGUGGCUCAACCACAGAAUUGCCUUCGAUACUGUUAGGCUUGAGACCGGAAGAGGUAAGUGGAACUGCGAGUGUAGAGGUGAAAUUCGUAGAUAUUCGGAGGAACACCAGUGGCGAAGGCGGCUCACUGGUCCAUUACUGACGCUGAGGUGCGAAAGCGUGGGGAGCAAACAGG
rnacentral:rRNA from 1 species